rnacentral:rRNA from 1 species
CUUUUACAAUGAAGAGUUUGAUCCUGGCUCAGGAUGAACGCUAGCUACAGGCUUAACACAUGCAAGUCGAGGGGCAGCAUGAACUUAGCUUGCUAAGUUUGAUGGCGACCGGCGCACGGGUGAGUAACACGUAUCCAACCUGCCGAUGACUCGGGGAUAGCCUUUCGAAAGAAAGAUUAAUACCCGAUGGCAUAGUUCUUCCGCAUGGUAGAACUAUUAAAGAAUUUCGGUCAUCGAUGGGGAUGCGUUCCAUUAGGUUGUUGGCGGGGUAACGGCCCACCAAGCCUUCGAUGGAUAGGGGUUCUGAGAGGAAGGUCCCCCACAUUGGAACUGAGACACGGUCCAAACUCCUACGGGAGGCAGCAGUGAGGAAUAUUGGUCAAUGGACGAGAGUCUGAACCAGCCAAGUAGCGUGAAGGAUGACUGCCCUAUGGGUUGUAAACUUCUUUUAUACGGGAAUAAAGUGAGGCACGUGUGCCUUUUUGUAUGUACCGUAUGAAUAAGGAUCGGCUAACUCCGUGCCAGCAGCCGCGGUAAUACGGAGGAUCCGAGCGUUAUCCGGAUUUAUUGGGUUUAAAGGGAGCGUAGGCGGACGCUUAAGUCAGUUGUGAAAGUUUGCGGCUCAACCGUAAAAUUGCAGUUGAUACUGGGUGUCUUGAGUACAGUAGAGGCAGGCGGAAUUCGUGGUGUAGCGGUGAAAUGCUUAGAUAUCACGAAGAACUCCGAUUGCGAAGGCAGCCUGCUGGACUGUAACUGACGCUGAUGCUCGAAAGUGUGGGUAUCAAACAGGAUUAGAUACCCUGGUAGUCCACACAGUAAACGAUGAAUACUCGCUGUUUGCGAUAUACAGUAAGCGGCCAAGCGAAAGCGUUAAGUAUUCCACCUGGGGAGUACGCCGGCAACGGUGAAACUCAAAGGAAUUGACGGGGGCCCGCACAAGCGGAGGAACAUGUGGUUUAAUUCGAUGAUACGCGAGGAACCUUACCCGGGCUUGAAUUGCAACUGAAUGAUGUGGAGACAUGUCAGCCGCAAGGCAGUUGUGAAGGUGCUGCAUGGUUGUCGUCAGCUCGUGCCGUGAGGUGUCGGCUUAAGUGCCAUAACGAGCGCAACCCUUAUCGAUAGUUACCAUCAGGUGAUGCUGGGGACUCUGUCGAGACUGCCGUCGUAAGAUGUGAGGAAGGUGGGGAUGACGUCAAAUCAGCACGGCCCUUACGUCCGGGGCUACACACGUGUUACAAUGGGGGGUACAGAAGGCAGCUACACGGCGACGUGAUGCUAAUCCCGAAAGCCUCUCUCAGUUCGGAUUGAGUCUGCAACCCGACUCCAUGAAGCUGGAUUCGCUAGUAAUCGCGCAUCAGCCACGGCGCGGUGAAUACGUUCCCGGCCUUGUACACACCGCCCGUCAAGCCAUGAAAGCCGGGGGUACCUGAAGUGCGUAACCGCAAGGAGCGCCCUAGGGUAAAACUGGUGAUUGGGGCUAAGUCGUAACAAGGUAGCCGUACCGGAAGGUGCGGCUGGAACACCUCCUUUCU